rnacentral:rRNA from 1 species
AUUGAACGCUGGCGGCAGGCCUAACACAUGCAAGUCGAACGGUAACAGGUUAAGCUGACGAGUGGCGAACGGGUGAGUAGUGUAUCGGAACGUGCCCAGUCGUGGGGGAUAACUGCUCGAAAGAGCAGCUAAUACCGCAUACGACCUGAGGGUGAAAGCGGGGGAUCGCAAGACCUCGCGCGAUUGGAGCGGCCGAUAUC